rnacentral:rRNA from 1 species
CCUACGGGGGGCUGCAGUGGGGAAUAUUGCACAAUGGGCGCAAGCCUGAUGCAGCCAUGCCGCGUGUGUGAAGAAGGCCUUCGGGUUGUAAAGCACUUUCAGCGGGGAGGAAGGCGGUGAGGUUAAUAACCUCAUCGAUUGACGUUACCCGCAGAAGAAGCACCGGCUAACUCCGUGCCAGCAGCCGCGGUAAUACGGAGGGUGCAAGCGUUAUUCGGAAUUACUGGGCGUAAAGCGCACGCAGGCGGUCUGUCAAGUCGGAUGUGAAAUCCCCGGGCUCAACCUGGGAACUGCAUUCGAAACUGGCAGGCUAGAGUCUUGUAGAGGGGGGUAGAAUUCCAGGUGUAGCGGUGAAAUGCGUAGAGAUCUGGAGGAAUACCGGUGGCGAAGGCGGCCCCCUGGACAAAGACUGACGCUCAGGUGCGAAAGCGUGGGGAGCAAACAGGAUUAGAUACCCUAGUAGUC